rnacentral:rRNA from 1 species
GUGCAAAGGUAGCAUAAUCAUUUGCCUCUUAAUUAGAGGCUAGUAUGAAUGGACAAACGUGAGUCAAGCUGUCUCUUCUCUGUAAAUAAAAAUUAAUCUUUAGGUGAAAAAGCCUAAAUACUAUAAAAAGACAAAAAGACCCUAUUGAGUUUUAUUACAUAAGCUUUAACCUAUAAUAAAAUAAAUUUCUUAAGUCAAAAGUAAUUUAGUUGGGGCGACUGAGGAAAAGAAUAAAUCUUCCUUAAAGUUUAAGGAUAUAACCCUAUUUAAUGAUCCGCAGAAGCGAUUAAAAGAAAUAACUCCCAUAGGGAUAACAGGCUAAUUUCCUUCAAGAGCCCAUAUUGCCAAGGAAGU